rnacentral:rRNA from 1 species
GAACGCUAGCUACAGGCUUAACACAUGCAAGUCGAGGGGCAGCAUGGUCUUAGCUUGCUAAGGCCGAUGGCGACCGGCGCACGGGUGAGUAACACGUAUCCAACCUGCCGUCUACUCUUGGACAGCCUUCUGAAAGGAAGAUUAAUACAAGAUGGCAUCAUGAGUCCGCAUGUUCACAUGAUUAAAGGUAUUCCGGUAGACGAUGGGGAUGCGUUCCAUUAGAUAGUAGGCGGGGUAACGGCCCACCUAGUCUUCGAUGGAUAGGGGUUCUGAGAGGAAGGUCCCCCACAUUGGAACUGAGACACGGUCCAAACUCCUACGGGAGGCAGCAGUGAGGAAUAUUGGUCAAUGGGCGAGAGCCUGAACCAGCCAAGUAGCGUGAAGGAUGACUGCCCUAUGGGUUGUAAACUUCUUUUAUAAAGGAAUAAAGUCGGGUAUGCAUACCCGUUUGCAUGUACUUUAUGAAUAAGGAUCGGCUAACUCCGUGCCAGCAGCCGCGGUAAUACGGAGGAUCCGAGCGUUAUCCGGAUUUAUUGGGUUUAAAGGGAGCGUAGAUGGAUGUUUAAGUCAGUUGUGAAAGUUUGCGGCUCAACCGUAAAAUUGCAGUUGAUACUGGAUAUCUUGAGUGCAGUUGAGGCAGGCGGAAUUCGUGGUGUAGCGGUGAAAUGCUUAGAUAUCACGAAGAACUCCGAUUGCGAAGGCAGCCUGCUAAGCUGCAACUGACAUUGAGGCUCGAAAGUGUGGGUAUCAAACAGGAUUAGAUACCCUGGUAGUCCACACGGUAAACGAUGAAUACUCGCUGUUUGCGAUAUACUGCAAGCGGCCAAGCGAAAGCGUUAAGUAUUCCACCUGGGGAGUACGCCGGCAACGGUGAAACUCAAAGGAAUUGACGGGGGCCCGCACAAGCGGAGGAACAUGUGGUUUAAUUCGAUGAUACGCGAGGAACCUUACCCGGGCUUAAAUUGCAGAUGAAUUACGGUGAAAGCCGUAAGCCGCAAGGCAUCUGUGAAGGUGCUGCAUGGUUGUCGUCAGCUCGUGCCGUGAGGUGUCGGCUUAAGUGCCAUAACGAGCGCAACCCUUGUUGUCAGUUACUAACAGGUUCCGCUGAGGACUCUGACAAGACUGCCAUCGUAAGAUGUGAGGAAGGUGGGGAUGACGUCAAAUCAGCACGGCCCUUACGUCCGGGGCUACACACGUGUUACAAUGGGGGGUACAGAGGGCCGCUACCACGCGAGUGGAUGCCAAUCCCCAAAACCUCUCUCAGUUCGGACUGGAGUCUGCAACCCGACUCCACGAAGCUGGAUUCGCUAGUAAUCGCGCAUCAGCCACGGCGCGGUGAAUACGUUCCCGGGCCUUGUACACACCGCCCGUCAAGCCAUGGGAGCCGGGGGUACCUGAAGUGCGUAACCGCGAGGAGCGCCCUAGGGUAAAACUGGU